rnacentral:rRNA from 1 species
GAUGAACGCUAGCUACAGGCUUAACACAUGCCAGUCGAGGGACCGGCGCACGGGUGAGUCACACGUAUCCAACCUGCCCUUUACUCGGGGCUAGCCUUUCGAAAGAAAGAUUAAUACCCGAUGUCAAGGAUGGGGAUGCGUUCCAUUAGGUUGUUGGUGAGGUAACGGCUCACCAAGCAUUCGAUGGAUAGGGGUUCUGAGAGGAAGGUCCCCCACAUUGUAACUGAGAACCGAUCCAAACUCCUACGGGAGGCAGCAGUGAGGAAUAUUGGUCAAGGGGCGUUAGCCUGAACCAGCCAAGUAGCGUGAAGGAUGAAGGCUUAUGGGUCGUAAACUUCUUUUAUAUAAGAAUAUGUAUUAUAUGAAUAAGGAUCGGCUAACUCCGUGCCAGCAGCCGCGGUAAUAC